rnacentral:rRNA from 1 species
UACGAACUGUGCGAACGUUAUUCGGAAUCACUGGGCUUACAGGGUGCGUAGGCGGCUCAACAAGUCAGGUGUGAAAGCCCCCGGCUCAACCGGGGAACUGCGCUUGAAACUGUUAGGCUCGAGUCAGCUAGAGGUACACGGAACUUCCAGUGGAGCGGUGAAAUGUGUUGAUAUUGGAAGGAACACCGGAGGCGAAAGCGGUGUACUGGGGCUGGUCUGACGCUGAGGCACGAAAGCCAGGGAGCGAACGAG